rnacentral:tRNA from 1 species
CAGGACGUAGCUAUAAACCAAAAGCAUUCAGCUUACACCUGAAAGAUGUCUCAUAACUGAGGCCGACCUGA